rnacentral:rRNA from 1 species
UACGUAGGGCGCAAGCGUUGUCCGGAAUUAUUGGGCGUAAAGAGCUCGUAGGCGGCCAGUUGCGUCUGCUGUGAAAUCCCGGGGCUCAACCCCGGGCGUGCAGUGGAUACGGGCUGGCUAGAGGCAGGCAGGGGAGAACGGAAUUCCCGGUGUAGCGGUGAAAUGCGCAGAUAUCGGGAGGAACACCGGUGGCGAAGGCGGUUCUCUGGGCCUGUACUGACGCUGAGGAGCGAAGGCGUGGGGAGCGAACAGG